AUCAGCCUUUUGGGUGUGAUUUUGUGGAGCGUGAAGAGUUAAACGCCUUCAUGCCUGCAUAUUCGUGCACUUUGGGUGUACUUGCCCGUAUGGUUGGUUAACAUCAAUUUCGGUGGUCAUAAAAUGACUGGAGGAAUGUAGCUUCGAUCUUGUAUUGAAGUGUUAUAGCCUUCGGUAGAUGUGAUGAUCGAGAUUGAGGAUUGCAACGGAUACCCUUCGGGGCUACCUGUCUGGUCUCUGAUCGUUGCUCUGGUGCCGAAAGCUUGCUUACGGUUAUCAAAGUCGAUGGUCAAUAGGUUAGAACAGGUUAAAUUUGUUAGGAUGUUGACGUAAUGGCUUU
rnacentral:rRNA from 1 species